rnacentral:rRNA from 1 species
CACGUAGGGCGCAAGCGUUGUCCGGAAUUAUUGGGUUUAAAGGGUGCGUAGGCGGUUUUCUAAGUCAGCAGUGAAAUACGGCAGCUCAACUGUCGAGGUGCUGUUGAUACUGGGGAACUUGAGUACUGAUGAGGUAGGCGGAAUGGACGGUGUAGCGGUGAAAUGCUUAGAGAUCGUCCAGAACACCGAUAGCGAAGGCAGCUUACUAAGGAGUAACUGACGCUGAGGCACGAAAGUGUGGGGAUCAAACAGG